AAGUCGUAACAAGGUUUCCGUAGGUGAACCUGCGGAAGGAUCAUUAAAGAUUCGGGCUUCGGCCUAACCUCUUCAGCUGUGCGCUUCGGCUGCACGCUGUCGAAACCUCUCACACCUGUGCACCUUUUCGGUUGCGGCGUUCGCGUCGCUUCCGCUUUACACAUUUUACUACAAAAGUCCAGAAUGUCAAAACUAUAAACACAAUACAACUUUCAACAACGGAUCUCUUGGCUCUC
rnacentral:misc_RNA from 1 species